rnacentral:rRNA from 1 species
CUGUAGUGACUGCGGAGGUCAUUAC